rnacentral:rRNA from 1 species
UACGUAGGGUGCAAGCGUUGUCCGGAAUUAUUGGGCGUAAAGAGCUCGUAGGCGGUCUGUCGCGUCUGCUGUGAAAACUCGGGGCUUAACCCCGGGCCUGCAGUGGGUACGGACAGACUAGAGUGCGGUAGGGGAGACUGGAAUUCCUGGUGUAGCGGUGAAAUGCGCAGAUAUCAGGAGGAACACCGGUGGCGAAGGCGGCCUGCUGGGCAGUAGCUGACGCUGAGGCGCGACAGCGUGGGGAGCAAACAGG